GGCCUAGUGGUCUAGGGGUAUGAUUCACGCUUAGGGUUUAACACAGGUGAUUUAUAUUUCUUUAAGUUGUCUGUUUAAAAUUCUUAAGCAUUAAAAAUUAGUUGCUUUCACACUAAUUUGCGUGAGGUCCCGGGUUCAAAUCCCGGCUGGGCCC
rnacentral:tRNA from 1 species